CGGCGGCGGCAGAGCAGGAGAAGCAGGGCUAACAUGGCGCUUACUGCGGACUCUGCGCACUCUGCGCCCGUGUUUUCUGUCGUGUUCUCAUCACUGGCGCUUUUAUUUUAACACCUGACCUUGUUAACUUCACCACACACGUCCCCCGAAGUCAAACUCAAGCGUUUGUCCGCGGAAUAUUCCAAAUAAAGUGCCUUGUAGACUCCGGGAAUCUCGCUAACUUCUAACGUUAGCAAAGAGGCAGGAGGAGGAGAAAAGAAUUGGGAGAUACGGAGCAACAAGAGGAGGAGGACGAGUAGGAGUGUUCCUGUCUUGACCCUGGUUUGUAGCUGAUGCAGAUGCGAUGGCCACGGUCGAGGUAUGGGAGUAACGUGACGGCUGAUUCUGCUUCCGAACUAAAAAACCUCAGCUGUGCCAUGUUCCUCUGCUGAAGCCGAGGGGGCAGAACACACGGAGAAUGGACGAGUCAGUCUUGUUGGACUUGCUGGAGUGCCCCGUUUGUCUGGAGCGGCUAGACGCCUCGGCCAAGGUUCUUCCCUGUCAGCACACCUUCUGUCGCAGAUGCCUUCAGGGAAUCCUGGGCUCGCGGGGGGAGCUGCGCUGUCCCGAGUGCCGCACUUUGGUUGAGUGUGCCGUGGACGAACUCCCCAGCAACAUCCUCCUCGUGCGCCUGCUGGACGGCAUCAAGCAGAGGCCUCGCAGGCCUGGACCUGGACCUGGAGUCUGCACCAACGGUACGUCUGGAGCUGUGGCCAGAGCUCACGGCAGAGAGCAGGGCAACAACCGAGAGCAGAGCAACCCAGGAGCACAACCACAGAGAGCCCAGGCCAAGAGCUCACUUGUCAGGACCGUGCCUCAGCUGCCUUGUGCUAAAGCUCUGUACAACUACGAUGGCAAGGAACCAGGUGACCUCAAGUUCACCAAGGGUGACAUCAUCAUCCUGCGCCGGCAAGUGGACGAGAACUGGUUCCACGGCGAGAUGGGCGGAGUCCACGGCUUCUUCCCCACCAACUUUGUCCAGGUCCUCAAACCGCUGCCUCAGCCGCCACCUCAGUGCAAAGCUCUGUACGACUUUGAGCUCAAAGACAAAGAGGCCGACAAGGACUGUCUGCCCUUCUCCAAGGACGACAUCCUGACUGUGAUCCGCAGAGUGGAUGAAAACUGGGCAGAGGGAAUGCUGGGAGAUAAAAUUGGAAUUUUCCCCAUCUCGUAUGUGGAGUUCAACUCAGCAGCUCGUCAGCUCAUUGAGUUAGACAAACCCUCAGACUCUGGUGGAGACUCUGGUGAGGGGGCCUCCUCCUCCUCCUCAUCGGGGCCCCAGAGCAAUGGCGCCCAGCGAGCAGGGGAGAAGAAGAACAGUAAGAAGCGACAUUCCUUCACCUCUCUCACCAUGUCUCACAAGCCCAUGCCAGCUCCGCCCCCUCAGCGUCACUCCAUGGAGAUCAGUGGGCCGGUCCUCAUCAGCUCCAGCAACCCGACGGCAGCCGCACGCAUCGGAGAGAUGAGCGGGGGUCUGUCCUGCAGCGCGCCUUCACAGGUACACAUUUGCACAACUGGACUAAUUGUGACCCCGCCCCCUAGUAGCCCCGUUACCACAGCAACGGUCUUCACAUUCCCCUCAGAGACGAGCUUCACAUCCAUCCCAGUGGAUGCUCUCCCACCUCCCCCGCCUCCUCCCCCACAAUCCUCUGCCAGUGGAGCGGCGUACUCGUUGGCUGCCGGUCAGAGACCCUCCCCGAGCAUAAGUGACCAAAGUGGGAGACAAAGACCCACAGUAUAUGUGGCCAUGUUCCCCUACACUCCACGUAAGGAUGACGAGCUGGAGCUGAGGAAGGGAGAGAUGUUCCUGGUGUUGGAACGCUGUCAGGACGGCUGGUUCAAGGGCAUGUCCAUGCACACGGGAAAAAUUGGAGUCUUCCCAGGGAACUACAUGAGUCCAGUCAGCAGGACAGCGUCAGGCAGCACGCAGCCUAAAGUACCCAUGAGUCUUUGCACUCAAGCGGGCCGAGGCGUCAGCCUCAUCAGCCCGUCGUCGGCUCCCCUCGGUGCCGGUGUUUUGGGACCGGACUUGAACAAACCCGUGGCUGUGUGUUCCAGCGCCGCUCCUGCCAGCUCCCAGCCUGCUGCCGCGGUAGUGACGGCGGCUCAGACGGCCACGGGCCAGCAGCCCAAAGUGCCGCAGCACGUCAACUCCCAGAUGACUGUGAAUCAGGCUCGCAACGCGGUCAGGACAGCUGCGUGUCACAGCCAGGAUCGGACCACGGCGGCGACACCUGUCCAGUCUGCGUCACCCGCGUCUUACGUGCCUCACCUCUCCGUGUGCUCGCAGUCCUCGUCCACCUCCGCUCAGGGCUGUGCCCGCGCCGGAGCAGUUAUGGGCUGUGCCGCCGCUUCUCUGACCCCGCCCAACGUCAGUGCCGCGUCACUGGAGGGCGACGCCCCGAGACCCACGCCUGUCCUCGCUGUGUCUGUCGGGAACGGCUGUGCCGCUAACGCCGCGACCAACAGUUCAGCUUUGUCCUGCAGACUCGACAAAGACUUCAAGAGAGAAAAGAAAAGUCUUCUGAAGCUCUUGUCCUCCAACAAGAAGAAGUCUCGUUCUUCACCGCCCUCGUCUCCAACUCUUGAAGCAGAACAGGCUGCAGCUGGAGAGGUUCUUCACGACGCCUCUGUCAACUGCCUCGAGCAUGAUCCUGCUGCUGCCGCCUCCUCCUCCUCAGCCUCAGACUCCUCCCAUCGGAAGAACAGUCCUCUGGACGUUUGUGCUCCCAUUGCUCCUCCCCCUCGCCAGCCCUGCUCCUCCCUCUCGUCUCAGCAGCACGACGCACGGCCCAUCAUUUGUGAGAGGUAAACACCGCUCAGCUCAUAGAAGCAUUUGAAACUACGUACUGUAUGAACAUUCAUUCAUUCAUUCAUUCAUUCAUUCAUUCAUGUUUUCACAGUUCUGACCACGUUUUUAAAACGUGCUUUUAUGCUCACCACAGUAAAUAAGUGGUGAGUGAUAAUAAAUAUUCUAAAACUACACAAGAAGUGGAAAUGUCUGGAAUCUUUGUUUGGGAAAAGUUAAGCAAACACCAGGGUUCAAAUUCUGUGAAGCAGCUUUGAUUUUUUUAUGAUGAAAUCAUCGCUGAACUGAAACUAAACUGAAAAUAGUUUGGAAGUGAACUCUCAAACCUUUUAGUUUGAAAAAGACCAGUCGGCCUGACCUCAACUGAAAUCAGUGCUGAAUGUACAGGGUUGUGGUGUCGUAUCCUCCACAGAGUGACGCCGAGCUGGAGCUGAAGGAAGGCGACGUC